GAACGAACGCUGGCGGCGCGUUUUAAGCAUGCAAGUCGAGCGGCAAGGGCCUUCGGGCCCCUAGAGCGGCGGACGGGUGAGUAACACGUGGACAAUCUCGCCCCCCGGCCCGGGAUAGCCCAGGGAAACCUGGAUUAAUACCGGAUGAGACGGGACCCGCGAUGGCGGGAUCCGGGAAAGGCGCUGCGGCGCCGCCGGGGGAUGAGUCUGCGUCCCAUUAGCUAGACGGCGGGGUAACGGCCCACCGUGGCGACGAUGGGUAGCCGGCCUGAGAGGGUGGACGGCCACAUUGGGAACUGAGACACGGUCCAGACUCCUACGGGAGGCAGCAGCUAAGAAUCUUCCGCAAUGGGCGAAAGCCUGACGGAGCCGACGCCGCGUGAACGAAGAAGGCCGUGAGGUUGUAAAGUUCUUUUCGGGAGGGGGAACAACCGUGGCAGGGAAUGGCCGCGGGAUGACGUGAAUCCCGGAAUAAGCCCCGGCCAACUACGUGCCAGCCGCAGC
rnacentral:rRNA from 1 species